AGCAGAACCAGAUUCUGCUUCCUGCGUCUCAAAGGAGGUUUUAGAUUUCGGAGAGUUACAGUCUGCAUCGGAAACUUUCAGCACUCUAGGUGACGCUCCAGCUCUGCAUCUGUGUUUUGGUUUGUUUCAUCCAUUACAGAACAAGAGGUACAACAAAGCUGAUCAGAUUCCGGUCCUCAGGUUGGAUUACUGGGUGGCGGUUUUGGCUUUUUCCCCAGUUUUAGAGAGCUAUAGUUUUACUGGCUUCCAUCCUUGUUGAACUGAUUCCUGCAGGAUGGCUGUAAAGCUGCCAGGGCUCUGUCUGCUGCUGCUGGUUCUGUUGGGUCUAAGCUGGGCCUGGAAACACCCAUGUCCCAUCUUUGCUAAAAGCUGUGACGAGUGUAUCCAGUCUGGACCAGAAUGUGGAUGGUGCGCUGAAUAUCCAUACACUCGCUGUGAUACACAGGAAUAUCUGCAUAGAUCAGGCUGUCGUGACCCCUACAUCUACAACCCUCAGAGCACCCUGCAAAUCCUCCAGAACCACAGCAGCUCCCACACAGAAGACGGCAGCUCUCUAUUCCUGCAGCCUCAGCAGGUUUCCCUCCAUCUGAGGCCAGCAGUCAGCCAAUCUUUCAUUCUGAUCAUCUCCAUGCCAACAGACCAGCCAAUCACAGAACUGACUCUGGAGACCAGUGAGUGUCAGGAUUCUGCCUUUUGUUCCUGUGUUUCCCUCUUGUGUUGUCUGGUCUCUCUGUCUCCCUCUGUCUGCUGCUCCCUACCAGUGGCGUAUCCAGGACUUUUUUACCGGGGUGGCCUUGAUGGGACACAAAGCUAGUGUGGGGUGGCUAUGGCAUAGCGGAGUUUAAUGUCAUGUACGCAGCCGACCACAGUUCAAACCCCAGUACUUUGCUGCAUGUGACAUCCCCUCUUUCUCCCAUGAUUUCCUGUCUCAUAAGUGUUGAAUAAAGGUGUCUAUUCUGGUUUAUUUUUAAA